AUUUAACGCUGGCGGCAGGCCUAACACAUGCAAGUCGAACGAGUGGCGGACGGGUGAGUAAUGUCUGGGAAACUGCCCGAUGGAGGGGGAUAACUACUGGAAACGGUAGCUAAUACCGCAUACCAUCGGAUGUGCCCAGAUGGGAUUAGCUUGUAGGUGAGGUAACGGCUCACCUAGGCGACGAUCCCUAGAUGGUCUGAGAGGAUGACCAGCAAAACUGGAACUGAGACACGGUACAGACUCAUACGGGAGGCAGCAGUGGGGAAUAGGGCAAAAUGGGCGCAAGCCUGAUGCAGCCAUGGCGCGUGUAUGAAGAAGGAGUUCGGGUUGUAAAGUACUUUCAGCGGGGAGGCGUUACCAGCAGAAGAAGCACAGGCUAACUCCGUGCCAGAAGCAGCUGUAAUAC
rnacentral:rRNA from 1 species